rnacentral:lncRNA from 1 species
UUUCGAAAAUCGUGUCCACAUUGUUCCAUCCCUCUGGGAAAUCGUUUGGGGAGGUGGGGUGUCAAGCAGCAUCUGCAGGUCGUGUGUUUUUAAAUUCUCCUUCCUGCAGAGGAAUUCCACGUGGCCAGGCCAGCCGGUUUCCAAAGCACUUCUCUAGGGUGAUUCACUGCCAGGAGCACGGCAGAUCCCUUCUGUCCCCUCCCCGAGCCACCUGCAGGGCACAGAGCACUCAAAGCCAGCACUGGUGGUCCCCAGAAGCACAGCACAUGGCUGGGAAUGAUCGCCUGCAGCCAGCCUGGGUUCCACCUGCACCCACAGGUGCUCCUGGACACCUGGAUCUGUGCUCUGACUUAAAAACGAGCGGCUGCAGCCGCUGCCCUUGCUCUGCCCCUGCCUCCUGCCUGCACCCUGCAAUUCCAGCAGCUGGGAGGGGAUCUGUGCACCCGGCGAGGCUCACGUUCGCACGGGCAGACAGCAGCCAAAGGGCAGGGGAAGGGCUGGAUGAGGAGCAGGAAGCCUGGGAAGGGCAGGGAGAGCAGCACGGGGAAACAGUGUGGGGCUGUUCCCUGCCUGCUCUUAUCACAGCUUCCCCAGAUAACUCCUGGAACCCAUGCAGAUCCCCCCAGUCCAUGGGGAUGGGAGCUGAACUCCGCCGGGGGCUGCUUUGAAGGGAGAAGGGCUGGAGAGAGCCAGUUAAGGCUGGCAUCGCCACCCUCCCAGGGCAGAGUCCCCGAGGCUUGUGGGGAGCCAGCCUGGCUCAAAACCCUGCCAGCAGCAGAAGGGUUUUCAGCAAGCUCCAAUCCUCUGGAAACUGGGAUGGGUGGUGAGGAAGGAAGGCAGCAGAGCGGUGAGACCCCCUCAGCAGCCGUGCUCAGCCCUGCUCAGCCUCGCUGCACCGCGGGACUCCCGGGAUUCGGAUCAUUCUCUCCUCAAUGGCCUGGCUGUGUUUCUCCAAGGGGAUUACAUUCCGCCUGCCGGCUCAGUGGGGUCCUCUCUCCUCCGUGGGAUUCUGAGCUCUUCCCCAAUUUGUUUUCCUCUGCAAAUCUCAGGGAUAUGUGAUUUAGGAGAGCGAUGUCUCACUCCUCCCAGCCAACACCGCUUGGGAAUAUCACUUUUUUUUGUUUCUGCCUUAAAAAAUUCCUCUACAUGUCUGCAAAACUCCUGAUUUUACUCUGAUUGUUUUUUCACUCCAUUGGGUGAAAACAUUUUGUGUGACACCAGUUCUAGUGCAAGUUCUGUGAACAGGGGGUGGUCCCUGGGGGCUCCCUGCUUCAUUCUGGCUGCUUUGCCUCACCCAGGGGAUGCUUCAAGACCCACCAUGGGAUGCUCCCAAGUCCCAAAACCUGCUGGAAAGAUUGUGGGAAAUCCCAUGGCCAAAGGUUUUAUGGCUCAUUUCAUGUCCUGUGUGAAGACAGAUGGGGCAUGGCAUCUCUGAUAUUUUCACAGGCAGUAUCAGGCACAGGUAACUCUGCUCCUGGAGCAGGUCUGGGUGUGCUCAGUCAGGACGUUCUCACCUCAGUGUCUGUGGAGAGCUGGAAUCUCUCAGUUCCCUGUGUCCAUGGCCUCUGGGGCCCUUUGGGAAGCCUUCUGGUGAUGCCUUCUGAGUCAGAGAAGAAAAAGUGAUGAGUAAAAUCGUUGUCCUAAAGCUGUGAGACCUUUAAGGACUCUAAGCUGUUUUCGCAAGUGCCCUGAGGGCUGUGAAAAAUUCCAAAUAUUGCUUUGAAACUGGAAAGUCCCUGCAAGUCCCUCACAGCUGCUGCUUCUGUUUACUCUCUGUGCCAGGAUUAUUAGCGGAGGUGUUGAGCAAGCAGAGCCAGCCCUGCUCCCUGGAGUUCUCCUGGCACUGCCUGCUCUUCCUGACUGUCCUUUGUCCUCAGCUUUGAGGGUGGGCAAUGCAUGGGCAAAGAUGUCUGUGUGGAGAUGGAGGUGUGGGCAAAGUUCCUGCAGUGCCUGGGGCUGUGACCAGGUGGGGUGACCAUCCCUGGGGCAGUGACCAUCCCUGUGCCAGUGACCAUGCCUGGGGCAGUCUGGAGGUGAGCAAUACCUGGCACUGCUGUUG